rnacentral:rRNA from 1 species
CACGUAGGGCGCAAGCGUUGUCCGGAAUUAUUGGGCGUAAAGAGCUCGUAAGCGGUCUGUCGCGUCUGCUGUGAAAUCUCAGGGCUUAACCCUGAGCUUGCAGUGGGUACGGGCAGACUAGAGUGCGGUAGGGGAGACUGGAAUUCCUGGUGUAGCGGUGAAAUGCGCAGAUAUCAGGAGGAACACCGGUGGCGAAGGCGGGUCUCUGGGCCGUAACUGACGCUGAGGAGCGAAAGCAUGGGGAGCGAACAGG